rnacentral:rRNA from 1 species
CACUCCCUGGGGCAGCCUAAAUGCAGUCGAACGGCAGCACGGGUGCUUGUGCUUGGUGGCUUGUGGUCGCGGGUGGGUGAUACAUGAGAACAUGCCCUGUAGUGGGAGAUGGCCCCGCGACGGCCGGAUUAACACCGCACACUAUCUACAGAUGAGAGCGGGGGACCUUCCGGCCUCCUCCCGGGGGUGGGCCGAUGGCUGAUUAACUAGUUGGUGGGGUAAAGGCCUACCCAGGCGACCAUCACUAGCUGGUCUGAGAGGACGACCAGCCACACUGGGACUGAGACACGGCCCGCACUCCUACGGAAGGCAGCGGCGGGAAUUUUGGAUGUGGGCGAAAGCCUGAUCCAUCAAUGCCUCCUGUGUGUGUAAGGCCUUCCUUUUGUAAAUAACUUUUGUCCGGAAGAAAUCCUUGUCUCUAAUACAUUCCGGGGAUGACGGAACCGGCUAAUGAACACCGGCUAACUACGUGCCUGCCGCACCGUAAUACGUAGGGUGCGAGCGUUAAUCAAUUAUUACUGACUGGAAAUCAUGCGCGCGCAUUUUGCUAAGACAGAUGUGUCCUCCCCGGGCUCCUCUGACAACUGAUGUGGAGACUGGGGGCUAUUUAAGGGAGAUGGGGGUAGAAGUACUGUGUAGCAAGAAAUGCAUACAGAGGAGAAGAAUGAUGAUCGCUGGCGCACCCCCCUGUCCCGAUACUGACUCUCACGCACAAACGUGAGGGGCGCGAGCAAGAUAUAUACCCUGCUUGUCCACCCCACACCCUGUCUCCUACUAGUUGGUGUGUUAAUCGUUUCCUUAAUAACGCGGUCACGCGUGAAGUUCACCUUCUGCGGCAUGACGGUCACAGUAUUAAAACUCAAAAGUAUUGGGGGGUGACCCCCACCCGCUGUAGAUGUGGAAUAUUUUGUUGAUUCGCUAGAAACAUAUUAACCCCUCCCGGCGUGGGCAGUAUCCCGGAAUCAAGGGAAGUGUCCGAUA